rnacentral:lncRNA from 1 species
UGUAUAUCGUUUUGCCCUUGUAAAAAGUGAAUGAAGAGUAAGAAGGAAGGAAGGAAAGAGACAUGCAAAUAACAUGUACGUACACCACCUCCAACAAGAUCCAUCCCUGUAUAACACCCUCUUAUAUAUUCAUUGCCAUCAAGAUUAAUUAGUCACGUCUUCAUCUAUACACACUCAGAAUUAAUAAAUAUCCCCAGAAUCUUCUCUAUCCGAUUCCAACAAAAAUAUUUUGCUCCAAUUAGUAAUUUAUAAAAAAAUGAAGAAGUUUGAUUUUGGUACUCUUUUUGUCAUCGUGAUUUUGUUAUGUGCAAUAUUAGCCUUAACAAGUUAUACUACAGCUUCUUCUGAAAUUUCUUAUGAUGCACCAACAAACAAAAUUAGCAAAUUAGGCACUGUUCAAAAACAACACUACAUUUUUGGAGAGCAAAAAGGAGUGGUAAUUCAUCGUCGAGCUCGUCCUAAAAAAAAUUCAUCCCAAUCUCUCAAGAAAAAUACCUUCUUCAUCUUUGGCUUCAUGUCUCUUCUCCUCUUAAUUAUCAUCGUUCAGUAUUAAUUCACUUUAAUUUUUACGUAUCUUUUUGUUUUUUUGUCAGUUGAUGAGUUCUCGAGAAUCAGAAUUCAUAAACUAAAAUUUUAAUUUGGCUACGAUAGCGAUCUUGUUUUAUUUGAUAGUAAGCUUCUAUAUGUGUCUUUUAUGUAAUGUGUUUUCUAUGAUAUUUGACUUACCAGUAAUUUUUUCGAUCCCUUCUCUAAAUUUUACAACUAAUAUUGGUUGAACCUCUCCCAUUAUAAAAUUUUACCUAUUAAUUGGUCCUAACUCCUACGUGAACAGAACAAGGAACAAGAAAAAAAAAAUCUUCGAAGAAAUUAAAUGUGUGUAGGCCAGUCCCUCACAAUGAUUUGAUUUCUCAAAUUCUUCUUUUUUGCAUUUUUCAUACUUAUCAAUUAUAUACCGUAUAUUUGUCACAUACUAAAAUUUAUUUACAUGUUUAUCUGGAAAAAGAUAUUUAUUUAUGAUUAUUUUUCAUUUAAAAUAAAAGAAUAUCAAACUUCCAUUUUGGCAAGGAAAAAACUAUCUACCAAAAAAGAGAAAUCAGACUAUACAAUUAUACUUGUACAAUCUAUAUAUGCAUUGAAAUCACAUAUAGGCAAAGAUAGAGUGUAUACUCCAUGAAUAAUUUCAUUCGACAACUUAUGUCCCUGUUGAUCUUUUUGUUACGUUAUAUGAAAUAUAACUAUCUUUCCCACCAAAUA